rnacentral:rRNA from 1 species
GAUUUCUGGUUGGAUGCGCCUGGCCCGCCACGGUUUCGUGUGUGAGUGCCUCGGUGUGUCUGCCAUCCUUCUCGCUGCGUCUCACGCUCUUCUUCAUUGAGGGGAGUGGGCGUGCGAGAUCUUUUACUUUGAAAAAAUUAGAGUGUUCAACGCAGGCAGUGCGCUAUGAAUACAUUAGCAUGGAAUAAUAAUUUAGGACUUUGGUCUUAUUUUGUUGGUUUCUAGGACUAAAGUAAUGAUUGAUAGGGACAGUUGGGGGUGCUAGUAUUCAGCGGCCAGAGGUGAAAUUCUUGGAUUCGCUGAAGACUAACUUAUGCGAAAGCAUU